UGAAGGCCGAAAAUGUUUUAGCCCUAAAAGUCUAAAACUCAUGUCUUCUUCCUUUCGUUUGGUCCGAAAUAGCAACAUCAGUAUAUCACGGCACCAGGCCACCACCUAGUCACAUACUCUGCCUUAUUCCUUUCGUUUCCUGGUAGCUUUUCCGGUAGAAAAGUCAAAACUUAAAAGGUUUCAGGAAAAUAUGCAUGAGGUAGGUGGAUACCUGGUUGGCCUCUUGAGGCAGCAGCAUAGAGACAAGCUGCAUGGUCAAAGAUGUUCAACAACCAUAAGGAAGUGUAAGUGUGAUCCAAAAGGAAAUUGACAAUGUUAAGAUGCCCGUAGUCACAGGCCAGAAACAAGGCGCUCUGGUUCUCAGAAUUGAGUUUGGCCGCCAUCCAUUUGUUGGCCUCCAUGAGCAGCCUGACCACACUGUACUGGCCCAUACGACACGCUUCGUGGAUCGGCGUCUCUGAGUUGAUGUUAUUCUCUUCGGUCACCAUUUGUGGUCUCAGUUCCAAAAUGAGUGACACCAUCUCCACAUGUCCGAGUCUUGAAGCCAGGUGUAACACAGUAGCAUUUUCCAUUCUUUUGUCGACCACGUGUUCAUCCUCUUCAACCAUUUUCCUAAACCCAGUAGUGUCGUUAUUUAUGAUUGCCUGUGUGACAACCCAAUCCAUUAAUACCAUAAUCUCUUGUCCCUCUAAUUAAGAUGGUGUGAACGAGUAUCUAAGAAAAAAGAUACCCAUGUGUAUCUCGCUCGCUGCUUUUAUAGCCACCAAGUAGAUUGAAACUUUCUGUCUAUAUGGUGUGAACAUAAAUUGAGAGCAGCUUCCUUCCGUUUUCCAAUUGUUUGAAUUGGGAAUUUCCAAGCAGCUUCCAAGUCCUUUCAUAUAUGUGUGAAGAUAAACUUAGAGCACCUUUUGAAUAAAGUUUCUAAAUUGGACCUAAGAUGCAUUGGAAGGAAGCAAUAAUUUAUUGUGGGAAAAGCUAAAUGGAAAUUGACACGAAACUCCAAACUCAAAAUCAAACACCAAAAUUAUUACGUCAGCAUCUUGAACUGGAACACCGGCAAAACAGCAUGUGAGCGGCUUAUUAUUCUUGAAGCUGAUUAUAUUGAACUAAGAGAUUAUGGAGCUCUCCUUUAUCACUAUGGAUUUUACAAGGAAUCCUUGAAAUACCUAAACUUAUAUCACGAUUCACAGAUUUUGAAGAAUUUUUCGAAAAUAUUGAAGAUGUGAAAAAUGAUAAUUGAAGAAAAUAUGGAAAUCUUGAUAUGAAGAAAUGAUAACACUGUGAAUGUUUGUAGUUUUUUUAUAUUUUAUUUUGUAUCGAAUAAAAUACUUGUAUUAUGUUUAUAGAUUGAUUAAUAAAAAUGAGCUUUU